rnacentral:rRNA from 1 species
AUUGAACGCUGGCGGCAUGCCUUACACAUGCAAGCCGAACGGCAGCAUGAUCUAGCUUGCUCGAUUGAUGGCGAGUGGCGAACGGGUGAGUAAUACAUCGGAACGUGCCCUGUAGUGGGGGAUAACUAGUCGAAAGAUUAGCUAAUACCGCAUACGACCUGAGGGUGAAAGUGGGGGACCGCAAGGCCUCAUGCUAUAGGAGCGGCCGAUGUCUGAUUAGCUAGUUGGUGAGGUAAAGGCUCACCAAGGCGACGAUCAGUAGCUGGUCUGAGAGGACGAUCAGCCACACUGGGACUGAGACACGGCCCAGACUCCUACGGGAGGCAGCAGUGGGGAAUUUUGGACAAUGGGCGAAAGCCUGAUCCAGCAAUGCCGCGUGUGUGAAGAAGGCCUUCGGGUUGUAAAGCACUUUUGUCCGGAAAGAAAUGGCUCUGGUUAAUACCUGGGGUCGAUGACGGUACCGGAAGAAUAAGGACCGGCUAACUACGUG